rnacentral:rRNA from 1 species
AGUGAACGCUGGCGGUAGGCCUAACACAUGCAAGUCGAACGGCAGCACAGUAAGAGCUUGCUCUUACGGGUGGCGAGUGGCGGACGGGUGAGGAAUACAUCGGAAUCUACUUUUUCGUGGGGGAUAACGUAGGGAAACUUACGCUAAUACCGCAUACGACCUACGGGUGAAAGCAGGGGAUCUUCGGACCUUGCGCGAUUGAAUGAGCCGAUGUCGGAUUAGCUAGUUGGCGGGGUAAAGGCCCACCAAGGCGACGAUCCGUAGCUGGUCUGAGAGGAUGAUCAGCCACACUGGAACUGAGACACGGUCCAGACUCCUACGGGAGGCAGCAGUGGGGAAUAUUGGACAAUGGGCGCAAGCCUGAUCCAGCCAUACCGCGUGGGUGAAGAAGGCCUUCGGGCUGUAAAGCCCUUUUGUUGGGAAAGAAAAGCAGCAGGUUAAUACCCCGCUGUCCUGACGGUACCCAAAGAAUAAGCACCGGCUAACUUCGUG